ensembl:lncRNA
AGGAAAGAACUUGCUUUGGCUGAUUGGAUUUGUGUGACUAGAGAAUUCCCCUGGGUAAUCUUCUGACAUCCCUGGUUAUUUCAUAUAAAGAGGACAGUGAUGCCUGUUCCACUUUAAAAAAAAGGAAGAGAGAUGAAUGCUGACUGGAUUUCAGGAUUGGCUGCAAAAGCUGUACUGUAGAAGACCUCACUCACUUUUAAGAUUUUCCAGCACCAGAUCUUCCUUGGCUAUUUGGACUUAUUUUGCAGUCAUGUUAGCCAUCAUCCAUGUUGUUUGUUUCUUUCUGUUUAGCAUGAUUUCACUAAUAGUCAAAAUUUGCUAGCCCAGAUAGUGUCCCUGAUGCUUUUGCCUGAAACAUCUCUGUGGAAUGUCACUGAAAAAAAGGAAAUAGAAGAAAAAAAAAAAAAAAAGUGAUUCAGAACAUAAUUUGGCUGACAAAAGCAAUGAAGCAAUAACCAUUCAACUCCAUGCAUGGAAAGGUUUUUGCUGUGGGACAUGGAGUCUACUGGGCUGUUCUUUGUGAGAAGAGUCUAGAAGCUGCCCAUUAUAGAUACAAGCCAGUUCCAUCUGCUGCUGUCCAAAGCAGAGCCAGUGAGAGAUGCUGAUUUUGCCUCUGUAAGAGCAUAUCUAAGAAAGGAGAAAAAAUCUGCUGUGCAGCAGCAGCUGGGAGAAAUGAGUGAGAAAAUGUAGAGUGAAAUAAUUCUGCAGAUGCAAAGAUCAGUGCAGAAGGAGGGGGAGGAGGUGCUCCAGAUACAGAAGCAGAAGUACCCUGCAGCCUGUGUGACACCUAUAGCAGGCUGUCUCCCUGCAGCCCGUGGGCACCACAUGAAACAGAUCUCCACACUGAGUCCCAUGGAGGAGCCCACAGGGGUGCAGGUGAAUGCAACCCACUGAAGGCCCAUAGAGGAGAAGAUUCUGUGACAAACCUGCAGCUUUUGGAGAGGAGUCCAUGGUGGAGCAAGAGGUCUGAGAGAGCUAUCACCCAUGGGGGACCCAUGCUGGAACUCACUGUUCUUGAAGGAUGGCCUCCAUGCUACAGUCCCAUCAAGGAGCAGUUACUGAAGAAAUACAGCCUGUGGUAAGCUGAUGUUGGAUUAGUUUAGGAGAGAUGGCAUCCCAUGGGAGAUAAUGUAUGCUGGAGCAGAGGAAGAGAGUGAAGAUGAAGGAGCAGCAAAAAUGAAGCAUUACAGACUGACCAUAGCCCAUUCUCCCUGCUUCCUUGUUCUGCAGUGGGAGAGGAGUAAGAAGAAGGUGUUUUUAUUUUGCUUUAAUUUCUCACUGUUCUAGUUUCCUAUUAAUAGCAAAUAAAUUAUAUUAAUCUCCUUACACUGAGUCAUUUUGCUCACGACAAUAACUGUUAAGUAAGUGGUCUUCCUAUCCUUAUCUAACCCUUGAGCUCUUGUCCGUUGUAUUUUCUUCCCUUCUUCCUUUGGAAUAAAUAAAUAACUAAAUAAAUGAAAAGAUAGCUUUG